ensembl:lncRNA
GGGGGGGCUAAAUUAGCAGGAGCGCGUUUGGCGUGGCCAGGCGGGGGUCCCGCUCCGGUCCCCCGAGCUGUCCCGUUCGGGUCCCCUUUGCCCAGGACGGCCACACGGGACAGCCCCUCCUCCGCCAGAGGACACGGAUGUGUCUGUUCUCGAGGGGCAUCGGCCUGACCACGGUCUAUCCCUCCCGCCUGUGGAUCCCAGGUAUUUCACAGACGCCCAUGGUAUGUGCCUGCGUGUUUGCUGUGGCUGUGGUGGGAGUCAUGGCUGUCGUGAGGGUGCUGAGCGCUGUGACCGUGUCUGUGUUCAGAAGGCUCUUGGCUGACUCACGUUCUCAGUCUGUGUGGUUUCAACAGCUCCAGAGCUUAAGAGUUCUGAGGAGACUUUCAAUCACCCACCUUCCCAGCAUGGACUUCCCUGUUCUCCAACAACCAUGCCUCCAUCCCCAUCCCUGGGUACAUGUGCAGCCCAUUCACACAGUCUCACACAAAAAUAGUCUUUAUGGCACUUCAUCUGAAUGGAGGCAAGUGGAAGGAAGACAUGAUCAACUCCUAAAAAUUAGCAAUAGUGAAAAAGGCAUUUCAUGUGGUAUGUGAAGACUAAUUUUUCAUGUAAUUAAAACUAGGUUUUGCUGAGCGUGCUGGUGUUGCCAUUGAAAAGACCUGGAUAAUAUCCAAGGCAACCUUUUGGUUGGUUUUAUGCAGCCUCUGAGCUGUAGAUUAGAGUUGCACCUGCCUGCAGAAAUGGAGAAAGGCUGAGUUCUGGGAUGUGGUCCCUAAAGGCCCAGGUGACCCAGCAUGUACUGUUCCCAGGACUGGAGAGACUGGUGGGGUUAGGUGGUCAGUCACAUAAACUUUCUGGACCAUGGCUGCUUGGAACAUGAAUCCCUUCAUGCUACAAAACCACCUUCAGAUGGUCCCUGGACUGUUUCCUACAGUGCUCACUGCCUCACUGGGGUUCAGCUGCCUCCUUCACAGAGCUUCUCUCAUCCACUGCCACAAGACAACAGAGCUGGUCCUGAGGCCAUAAGGAGAGCUUCAGUGCUCAGCCUGUUUGUGGCAGCUCCUCUGCUCUCAGGCUCUCUGUCACAAAGGUGUGGGUUGUGCUGGUAAAGCUGCUCUGAGAGUGUGGCUCUGGCUGGCCCUGGGAUUUUAUGGCCCCAGGACUGACUGAGCCUGGCACAUCCUCUGUGAAUUCCUCAGGGUGAAUUCAUUCAAGUUGAUUUAUUUGUGCAAGCAUCUGUAAAUAGGAAGCCAGAAAUGCUGAUUCUUCUUUGCAGCUGUUCACAAGUCUCUUGAGUUUCCUGAUCAUAAAUGCUCUUUUUUGUGCACUGGUUCUCUCCAAAUGACAUUUCUGAUCCAAAGUACUUGACAGCUGUUGCCUGUGACUGCUGCUUUGCUGAGUGACUGGCACACAGUAGUGUGGUUAAAGCUGCACUGCUCCAGUAUGCUGAUUUUGCCAGUCUGAGCUGUGCCAUGUGCUGCCCAGCAGUGUCUGAUGCAGCCCUGGGAAGAUUCAGAUAAACCUCAAGAGCAGCAGAAUCAGAUGUGGAAUUGUGCCACUACAGUUGUUCUGUGUAUAACUGGUGUGCAAAGCCAACAAAAAGGAAAGGUCAGAGAAUAAUUCAUUACAAAUUCAGUAAUUCUUUCUGGAGUAUGAAUUUGCUCCAGCAUUUCUCCAAGAGGAGAUCCCAGGGCUAGCAAUGGAGGGAAAUUCCUAAACUAAUUGACAUAUUCAGCCCUCUCAAAGCAUCAAAUACAUCAGGCAAAUAUGAGAGGAUUGACUCAACCCAGUUGCUGUCUGCUGGCCACUAAUUUGGGGGGUUAGAGCUGCCUUAAGGAGUUGCAGUAAAUAUACACAUGCUGUGGUGCUGUCUUUUGUCUGGCAGUAACUUCUGGAGCCACUCUCAGCCAAAUGAGACAGAGGAGCAGACCUUUAAAACUCUUGGGGUUCCUGCAGGCUUUAUGGAAAUCUGGGGAAGUUUCAGGAGACCCAGGCUGGGGUGGGCUUUGCACAGGCAAUAGCUUGGGACCUGGCAGCGUUGUGCUGCUCCAAGUCAGCCGGCAUGGCCAGCUGUGGCCCCAGCAGUGAAGGGGCAGACAGGGAUGACACAGAACAGAGGAGAGAACUCAGGGCUGUCAGAGACUCGAGCUGAAUGAAGACUUCCAGCAAGGAGCUGAAAGGACACAAACCAGAAAACUCUGAGAAAACUCUGGUUUGCUUGCUUAGUGCACCAAUUUGUUUGGUUUUUUUUUUUUCCAGAGGUGUAAACCUGAUCUUGUGAGUCCUGGUAUUUACCCCAAACUGAUGGUAGUUUUUGCAGCAUUUACUGGGGCAUUUACUGGCUAUCCUUUCUUCCUGAAAUUCCUUGUCUCUGCAAGUGAUUCGGUAGGAACAUGCACAGAGGGCUGGGUGUGCUAAGGCCUGGGAGCAGUUUGAGGAGCUGAGUUUGGGAUCUCCUCCGUGGUGCCACCAGCAGUGUGGUAGUGGGGCUGUGGAACAGUUGUUGGUCCACAGAGACAGCAGCAGAUGCAGCUCUCAGGGGGACCUUCUGCUGUCCUACAGCCUCCAGGUGCUGCUGCCUUACAAAAAGAAGUAGAUCUGGUGGAGCCAAACACACAAUAGAGAGGAGCUGCUGCUGGAAGAUCUGCACUCCUUGAUCACACUGCCCACAUGAGGCACCCACACAGAGGGCACAGGGGAUGGAUGAAUUCAACCUGGGGAUGUUGCAUCAAAGAACUUUCAUAAAACACUCUUUUUAGCACUGAGCCAGUUCAGGGAUGAUUCAUCUUUGUUCCUGCAAACAGAUGCUGGUUUGGGCACUUCUUGUGUGCCCUGCUGGAAUUAUGCAAUGCAAUGGUGACAUUUUUUUGGGGUAAACAAGCCACUCCUUUUCCUGACUCACUACAAAUGAGGUGUUCUGAUUGCUGAGGUGUUGCAGCGUGUGCCGUGCAGGGCGCGCUGGGGGCUGUAGCAGGGCUGUGACCGUCCCCUGUGAGCGCUGCAGUUCCCAGUUACCGGCAGGGACAGAGCAGGGACACACAGCGGUGGCACGGGGCUUGGGGUGGGACAAGAUGGAUUUAUUUAUUCCUGGGCUCCCCGACAAGACUGGAGGGGUGUGAACAGAAGUUUUUAUACAGCAGCUCAGGAGUAGGGGUGUGGGAAGGUGAACCAGUGAGGACAUGGUAAGAGAGGAGUAUAAGGUGGGGCAAAUAAUUUAUGGGCAGAUCAGGGAAAAUUGGGAUGGGGGAUGAAAUACAAAAUAACAAACGGGGUGUCGAGGGCAACAAGACAGACACAGAACUCUCUGGAGAAAGGGGUAGGGAUAGGGAGGAUUGGCAACUUGGAAGGGAGGAGGUUAGGGAAGGGCUUGGGAAAAUUGGCAACUGGGUAAGGGAGGGGAUUAGGGAGGAGAACAGGGGGCAAACAUGGAUUCAAAGCAAAACACACCACAACACUGAGGCACCCUCCAGUCCUUCCUGGCCACUCCUCCAGCCCAAUGCAGUUUUUUGUGUUUUUUUUUUUUUUUUUUUUUCCUUCACUUGGGAGACUCCAGCUUUGUUGUUAUUCUGAGAUUUCAUCAGGGCCCUGUACAGUGACUUACAUAUCCCAGGGGUGCUUCCUGUUCCUGUGGGAUGUAUCCCACCUUAUCCCAUGUCCCAGAGGGGGGAUUUUCACCCACCAUUUAUUUUGGCCAAGCUGUCAUGUUUUUAUUUUCAUAGUCAACCACUUCAGUGUUAUAUUUUGUUUCCUUCUGCCUUUGCCACCACAGACCUUGCACAGCAGUAGUUGCAUUUUAGUCAUUAGCGGUCCUCAGUGGGUUUGGUGUCCCUGAGAAAGUCACAUUUACAUACUCUUAUCUCACUGUACUGGGAUCCUUUACUGAUAAACACUUGAGUUGCUUUUGCCUCUUUUCAAGUUGUCUUCUGUUGGAGUUUAUUGACUGGAACACCUGACAACUUUUGGGUUUGUCAGUGAAAAAAUACCUGUAAAUUCAUAUGUCUUUAAUUUUUGUGGGCUACAUGACUCUCAUUACUCCUUUUUUUCAGGGUUCAUGGGUAAAAACUGCUGUUAAAUUGAAGGGUAUUGCUGUUUUUAGAAAUUGUUGGGAGAAAGGUGCUUGCCUUUUAUUUAUUAACUUGGAAAACAACAGAUUUUCCUAGUAGUCUGAAGUACCACUGCUGUAGGUAUCUUCCAGUCUUUCUGCUGCUGGCUGACAGAAGACAGCAUGAGGUUUGUGGUAUUUUAUGGAGGUUAGCAGUGGUCUGGAUCAAAAACAGAACCUGAGCAGUUGGUCUUUCUUCUUUGGGUUCAGAGACAGGAGAAAAUAAACUGCACUUCAGAUUUCUUUGACUGGCUUCAUGCACCAGAACUUCCUUUACAUGAAAGACAGGUAUUUUUGUAAGAAAACAAAUAAACUUUUCUCAGCACC